rnacentral:tRNA from 1 species
GAGGGGGUCGCAUAGUGGUUAAUUGCAGCGGACUGUAAAUCCGCCCUCAUUCGAGUUCGUAGGUUCGAAUCCUACUCCCUUCA